rnacentral:rRNA from 1 species
AACGAACGCUGGCGGCAUGCCUAACACAUGCAAGUCGAACGAGACCUUCGGGUCUAGUGGCGCACGGGUGCGUAACGCGUGGGAACCUGCCCUUAGGUUCGGAAUAACUCCCCGAAAGGGGUGCUAAUACCGGAUAAUGUCCUCGGACCAAAGAUUUAUCGCCUUUGGAUGGGCCCGCGUUGGAUUAGCUAGUUGGUAGGGUAAAAGCCUACCAAGGCGACGAUCCAUAGCUGGUCUGAGAGGAUGAUCAGCCACACUGGGACUGAGACACGGCCCAGACUCCUACGGGAGGCAGCAGUGGGGAAUAUUGGACAAUGGGCGAAAGCCUGAUCCAGCAAGGCCGCGUGAGGGAUGAAGGCCUUAGGGUUGUAAAGCUCUUUUACCCGGGAGGAUAAUGACAGUACCGGGAGAAUAAGCCCCGGCUAACUCCGUG